rnacentral:rRNA from 1 species
UACAGAGGGUGCAAGCGUUGUUCGGAAUUAUUGGGCGUAAAGGGCGCGUAGGCGGUGCGGUAAGUCUGUAGUGAAAUCUCUGGGCUCAACUCAGAGUCUGCUGCAGAAACUGCCGUGCUUGAGUGUGGGAGAGGUGAGUGGAAUUCCCGGUGUAGCGGUGAAAUGCGUAGAUAUCGGAAGGAACACCUGUGGCGAAAGCGGCUCACUGGACCACAACUGACGCUGAGGCGCGAAAGCUAGGGGGAGCAAACAGG